rnacentral:rRNA from 1 species
UUAAGCGACUAAGCGUACACGGUGGAUGCCCUGGCAGUCAGAGGCGAUGAAGGACGUGCUAAUCUGCGAAAAGCGUCGGUAAGGUGAUAUGAACCGUUAUAACCGGCGAUGUCCGAAUGGGGAAACCCAGUGCAAUUCGUUGCACUAUCGUUAACUGAAUACAUAGGUUAACGAGGCGAACCGGGGGAACUGAAACAUCUAAGUACCCCGAGGAAAAGAAAUCAACCGAGAUUCCCCCAGUAGCGGCGAGCGAACGGGGAGCAGCCCAGAGUCUGAAUCAGCUUGUGUGUUAGUGGAACGGUCUGGAAAGUCCGACGGUACAGGGUGAUAGUCCCGUACACCAAAAUGCACAGGCUGUGAACUCGAAGAGUAGGGCGGGACACGUGGUAUCCUGUCUGAAUAUGGGGGGACCAUCCUCCAAGGCUAAAUACUCCUGACUGACCGAUAGUGAACCAGUACCGUGAGGGAAAGGCGAAAAGAACCCCGGCGAGGGGAGUGAAAAAGAACCUGAAACCGUGUACGUACAAGCAGUGGGAGCACCUUCGGGUGUGACUGCGUACCUUUUGUAUAAUGGGUCAGCGACUUAUAUUCUGUAGCAAGGUUAACCGUAUAGGGGAGCCGCAGGGAAACCGAGUCUUAACUGGGCGUUAAGUUGCAGGGUAUAGACCCGAAACCCGGUGAUCUAGCCAUGGGCAGGUUGAAGGUUGGGUAACACUAACUGGAGGACCGAACCGACUAAUGUUGAAAAAUUAGCGGAUGACUUGUGGCUGGGGGUGAAAGGCCAAUCAAACCGGGAGAUAGCUGGUUCUCCCCGAAAGCUAUUUAGGUAGCGCCUCGUGAACUCAUCUUCGGGGGUAGAGCACUGUUUCGGCUAGGGGGUCAUCCCGACUUACCAACCCGAUGCAAACUACGAAUACCGAAGAAUGUUAUCACGGGAGACACACGGCGGGUGCUAACGUCCGUCGUGAAGAGGGAAACAACCCAGACCGCCAGCUAAGGUCCCAAAGUCAUGGUUAAGUGGGAAACGAUGUGGGAAGGCACAGACAGCCAGGAUGUUGGCUUAGAAGCAGCCAUCAUUUAAAGAAAGCGUAAUAGCUCACUGGUCGAGUCGGCCUGCGCGGAAGAUGUAACGGGGCUAAACCAUGCACCGAAGCUGCGGCAGCGACACUAUGUGUUGUUGGGUAGGGGAGCGUUCUGUAAGCCUGCGAAGGUGUGCUGUGAGGCAUGCUGGAGGUAUCAGAAGUGCGAAUGCUGACAUAAGUAACGAUAAAGCGGGUGAAAAGCCCGCUCGCCGGAAGACCAAGGGUUCCUGUCCAACGUUAAUCGGGGCAGGGUGAGUCGACCCCUAAGGCGAGGCCGAAAGGCGUAGUCGAUGGGAAACAGGUUAAUAUUCCUGUACUUGGUGUUACUGCGAAGGGGGGACGGAGAAGGCUAUGUUAGCCGGGCGACGGUUGUCCCGGUUUAAGCAUGUAGGCUGAUUGUCCAGGCAAAUCCGGAUAAUCAAGGCUGAGGUGUGAUGACGAGGCACUACGGUGCUGAAGUAACAAAUGCCCUGCUUCCAGGAAAAGCCUCUAAGCAUCAGGUAACAUCAAAUCGUACCCCAAACCGACACAGGUGGUCAGGUAGAGAAUACCAAGGCGCUUGAGAGAACUCGGGUGAAGGAACUAGGCAAAAUGGUGCCGUAACUUCGGGAGAAGGCACGCUGGUGUGUAGGUGAAGUCCCUGCGGAUGGAGCUGAGACCAGUCGAAGAUACCAGCUGGCUGCAACUGUUUAUUAAAAACACAGCACUGUGCAAACACGAAAGUGGACGUAUACGGUGUGACGCCUGCCCGGUGCCGGAAGGUUAAUUGAUGGGGUUAUCCGUAAGGAGAAGCUCUUGAUCGAAGCCCCGGUAAACGGCGGCCGUAACUAUAACGGUCCUAAGGUAGCGAAAUUCCUUGUCGGGUAAGUUCCGACCUGCACGAAUGGCGUAAUGAUGGCCAGGCUGUCUCCACCCGAGACUCAGUGAAAUUGAACUCGCUGUGAAGAUGCAGUGUACCCGCGGCAAGACGGAAAGACCCCGUGAACCUUUACUAUAGCUUGACACUGAACAUUGAGCCUUGAUGUGUAGGAUAGGUGGGAGGCUUUGAAGCGUGGACGCCAGUCUGCGUGGAGCCAACCUUGAAAUACCACCCUUUAAUGUUUGAUGUUCUAACGUUGGCCCCUGACCGGGGUUGCGGACAGUGUCUGGUGGGUAGUUUGACUGGGGCGGUCUCCUCCCAAAGCGUAACGGAGGAGCACGAAGGUUAGCUAAUCCUGGUCGGACAUCAGGAGGUUAGUGCAAUGGCAUAAGCUAGCUUGACUGCGAGCGUGACGGCG